GAUGAACGCUAGCGGCAGGCUUAACACAUGCAAGUCGAAGGGCAACGGGGAGAGUGCUUGCACUCUCUGCCGGCGACUGGCGCACGGGUGAGUAACACGUAUGCAACCUGCCCUCCACAGGGGGACAACCUUCCGAAAGGGAGGCUAAUCCCGCGUAUAUCCCUUGGGGGCAUCCUUGGGGGAGGAAAGGAUUACCGGUGGAGGAUGGGCAUGCGGCGCAUUAGGCAGUAGGCGGGGUAACGGCCCACCUAACCGACGAUGCGUAGGGGUUCUGAGAGGAAGGUCCCCCACACUGGUACUGAGACACGGACCAGACUCCUACGGGAGGCAG
rnacentral:rRNA from 1 species